rnacentral:lncRNA from 1 species
ACAAAGAUGGCCUCAGCGAUCCACACAAAGAGACAGAAACUUUUGGACGCCAAGAACGAACUCAUGAAAUCGGAGAGACAGCUGUGGCUUCUGCAAAAGGAAAAAUCUGAGCUGGAACAAAAGUCGGAGGAUUUGAAACGAAGCAAAACGUUUCUCCAAAACAUUCGAGAACUCAACGCACGCUACCUGCAGCACCGACGGAAGCACCCGGACGAGAAGGAAACGUACGGUGCCUCCAGUUUAGCGGCUUUACUCAUCGAGGCCAAACACGUCCAAACAACAGAACUUCAGCUGAAGGCAAUCAACAACCACCUCGAAAACGCUGUAAAAGACAAAUAGCACAUUUUGUUAUAGAAUGUGUGUUGUGUCGCUCAGACCCUCUUCUUAAUUUGUGUUAAAAAUGCUUCAAGAAAACA